rfam:Gorilla gorilla gorilla genomic chromosome, chr6, whole genome shotgun sequence
AUCCUUUUGUAGUUCAUGAACCUGAGGACUGGGUGUUCAUGCGCCAUGUGUGAGAUGUGCCACCUCGAACCUUGUUACAGAUGUUGGCCCAUUACCCAUCUGGCA